rnacentral:tRNA from 1 species
CCUGGUGGUCCAGUGGUUGAGACUCCUCACUCCCAAUGAGGCAGACCUGGGUUCAAUCCCCGGGUUAGGA